rnacentral:rRNA from 1 species
GACGAACGCUGGCGGCGUGCUUAACACAUGCCAGUCGAACGGAAAGGCCCUGCUUUUGUGGGGUGCUCGAGUGGCGAACGGGUGAGUAACACGUGAGUAACCUGCCCUUGACUUUGGGAUAACUUCAGGAAACUGGGGCUAAUACCGGAUAGGAGCUCCUGCUGCAUGGUGGGGGUUGGAAAGUUUCGGCGGUUGGGGAUGGGCUCGCGGCUUAUCAGCUUGUUGGUGGGGUAGUGGCUUACCAAGGCUUUGACGGGUAGCCGGCCUGGGAGGGUGACCGGCCACAUUGGGCCUGAGAUAGGGCCCAGUCUCCUACGGGAGGCAGCGGUGGGGAAUCUUGCACAAUGGGCGGAAGCCUGAUGCAGCAACGCCGCGUGCGGGAUGACGGCCUUCGGGUUGUAAACCGCUUUCGCCUGUGACGAAGCGUGAGUGACGGUAAUGGGUAAAGAAGCACCGGCUAACUACGUG